AAAGUGGUGCGUCAAAAGAAGUGGUUUGUUUUAAUAAUAUUAACAACGAGAGCAAGAUCAGAAAUAAAUCAAAAGAUUUUUAAUAAAUUCUACAAUCGAACAAAUUUUAAAGCUAUUUAAUACUGAUACAGAUUCCGGACAGAUGUGAAAUAUAUCAUUUUGCCGCUAAAAUAAGUUUAAAAUGUGACAAUAAUACCAUUGUCUGGGUCACCAUACGCCUAACAUGUUAAAUGUUUUUUAUACAUUUUAAGAACAAUAGCACUGGAUGUAUAAUUUGCAAUGGAAAUACAUACACAUAAAUAUAGGUACGUACGUACAUACCUAUUGGAACCGGAUUAAUUUUGAAAUAACUGGAAAUAUAUAAUUUAUGAAAUAUUAUAUUAAAAGUUAGAGUAAAUAGUUAUUCAAAAAAAG